UAGUGCCCCUUCCUAUAACCCCUUCCUUCUGCAGGGCACUAAACAACAAAUUUCCCUCUUCUCGGAUGUCACUGUUGACCUGUCAUCAAAGCAAAUGACCUCUCCAAUUAGUCUGCACUUGAAGCCCUAAGGAAGACUGUAAGAGGAGCUCCUCCCAGUGCUACCAGUGCCUCUGCUACCUGGGAGUUCUCAGAUUGCCAAAUGUGGGGAGAGAAUGGAGACCCAAUCUUUCUGAAAGCUCUUCUUACAAAAAAUGGAAGAAAUUUGCCUAUAGCCACUCAGCUUGUCAGUGACAGAACAAGAAUUGGAACUCAACCCCCAAAUAUGGAACUCAACCAGGCUGGCAGUUUUCUGUAAAGGUCUAUCCAGCAAGCCAGACAACUACCAUCUUGGGACCUUCAGCUGUGCCUGCUUCCAAAAGAUCAUCUCAUUUGGGCUUGUUGAUUCCUUACAUCUCAUAGAGGGCCACAGAGAGUUACAAGGCUCUCACAUGCUCAGCCUUGUGACUUACAGAUACCAAGUGAGAACUGGGAUGGAGGCUUACCAUUGCUACUUCGGACCUGGAAGGCCUCGAGCAGAUCAUACACAGGCUCCACCUGCAGACUUCGCCUUCCGGAUCUAA
rnacentral:lncRNA from 1 species